rnacentral:SRP_RNA from 1 species
GCUGGGCACGGUAGUGUGUGCCUGUAGUCCCAACUACUCGGGAGGCUGAGGUGGGAGGAUCGCUUGAGGCCAGGAGUUCUAGGCUGUAGUGCGCUAUGCUGAUCGGGUGUCCGCACUAAGUUCGGCAUCAAUAUGGUGACCUCCCGGGAGCGGGGGACCACCAGGUUGCCUAAGGAGGGUGAACCGGCCCAGGUCGGAAAUGGAGCAGGUCAAAACUCCCGUGCUGAUCAGUAGUGGGAUCGAGAAUGUGAAUAGCCACUGCACUCCAGCCUGGGCAACAUAGCAAGACCCCGUCUCU